rnacentral:lncRNA from 1 species
AGAGGAAGGUGAAUCCAGUAUCGUUAGAUCACAUGCAAAAAGAGAGAACCAUUGAUCGAGUGAGUGGCUGAUCGAAGCAGAUUGUGAAUCACACACCUUAAGGGAAAAAAGAGCUAUGGGGAGGUGACAGCCUAUUGUGAGUAGUUUACUAGUAAAUGAAGCUUGGGUAGAGCCUGCCUAUGUUCAUAGGUGCAUACACUGUCUAUCGUGCGGGCAGAGAGAAAACUCUUGCUUGCCCUAUGGUUUGCCCGUGAUGUGUACCUUGCUGGUUGGCCUUCCACGGGCAAAAAAACUUUUCCACAGGUCGAGUUCGCGUGUCUGUGAGGCUUGUGCCUGUGAACAAGAAAU